UUUUGGUCCCGGAUAUAUUAUUGCUUUUAGCUAGUAAUAUACAUGCCAGCUUCCCCACCCCAGUGAAAACGCCCACUUUUGGCCUGUUCCCACAAGUGGGGCUGGUAUCAGGCACGGUUAAGAACCAGCCCAACACACCUAGCCAUGCCACCCCCCCACUGGGCCUCAGCAGUAAUAAACACUAAGCACUGAGCUAACGCUUGACUUGGUAAUAGCUACCGUGGGCCGGUAAACCCCGUGCCAGCCACCGCGGUUAUACGAGAGGCCCUAAACAACGAACAUCGGCGUAAAGCGUGACUAAAGCGUGAACUUAUUCUUAGGACUUUUAAACUAUAGUGAAGCUGUAAAACGCUAUACACAAUUAGGAACUCACCAUGAAGUCCUACCCAUAAAAACCUUGACCCCACGAAAACUAGGAUCCAAACUAGGAUUAGAUACCCUACUAUGCCUAGUCGUAAAAUUAAACGAAGUCGUCUCGCCAGAAAAUUACAAGCAACCAGCUUAAAACUCAAAAGACUUGACAGUAUUUCACAUCAACCUAGAGGAGCCUGUCCUACAACCGAUAACCCACGAUCAACCUCACCCGCCUUUGCAACAACAGUCUAUAUACCUCCGUCGCCAGCCCGCCUGAAAACAGGAACAAAGCGAGUGCAACAGCUCACCACUAAGACGACAGGUCAAGGUGUAACUAAUAGGCUGGGCAGAGAUGGGCUACAUUUCCUAGCAUAGGAAAUACCUACCCGCCAUGAAAUUUGCGCAAAAAGGUGGAUUUAGCAGUAAAUCGGGCAAGAAAAGCCUGCCUGAAAACCGCCCUGAAAUGUGUACACACCGCCCGUCACCCUCCUCAACAACAGCAUCACAAUAACUAAACACCCU
rnacentral:ncRNA from 1 species